UACGUAGGGUGCGAGCGUUAAUCGGAAUUACUGGGCGUAAAGCGCACGUAGGCGGUUUGUUAAGUCGGAUGUGAAAUCCCUCGGCCUCAACUGAGGAAGUGCAUUCGAUACUGCCGAGCUUGAGUCCUGGAGAGGAAGGCGGAAUUCUCGGUGUAGAGGUGAAAUUCGUAGAUAUCGAGAGGAACACCGGUGGCGAAGGCGGCCUUCUGGACAGUGACUGACGCUGAGACGGCGAAA
rnacentral:rRNA from 1 species